CUAAGGAAUAUACGGAGGCUACACAUACUUGUUUGAAACAAUGUUCAGUUUUGAGGGGCUUACCUCUCUAAACUUGUUCUUUGAAAACUAGAUAUUAUCAAUUAUUUUCCUUUAAUUAUUAAGAUAAUUAAACCGAGAAACAACUGUCGUAUUUUUGAGUUUUUUAAUUAGUUUAUCGCUAAUACUCAAUUAAUUUGACGAUCACGAAGUGACCGUUA
rnacentral:misc_RNA from 1 species